GCUUCCUAAUAGCUGGAAAUAGCAUAUGUUUCUGAUUCCUAGUUUUUGGGGGUCUUGGUCUAGUUGCCCUUCCAAGCUGCACCUUGCCCGAACUCCCUGAAAUAUUGACCCUAGACUGCUGCCUGAUUUUCUUUUUGGAUCAUGUUUGGACCUGGACUAGUUCUCAGUACUUGACAUGUGUUUGUUUGGACUGUGCUGUAUCUGCAACUCUGUCCUCAUUGGUGUUGCAGCCAUUUGUGUCCUGUCACACCCCCAUGACAGCCAUUUUGUGACUGGUGCCCAUAACGCUUUCUCCAAAAUUCCAAAUGUGCCCACUGGCUCAAAAAAAGCUGGCUGUACUUUUGAGGAAGAUGGGGACUUAAACCAGUGUGAGUAUAGCCAAGGUGUUGAGGAUGACUUUGAUUGGGAGCUGACUCGGAGCUACCUCCUGCCCCAUCUGACAUCUGAUCUUCCUCAUGGCUCCUACCUGAUGGUCAACUCCUCCCAGCGUGCUCAGGGUCAAAAAGCUCAUAUCCUUUUUCAGACAUUGAGUGAGAAUGACACCCACUGCCUUCAGUUCAGCUACUUCAUGUACACCCGUGAUGGCCACAGCCCGGGGACUCUGAACGUCUACGUGAAGGUGAAUGGGGGCCCGCUGGGCAGUGUGGUGUGGAAUGUCUCUGGAUCCCAUGGGCGCCAGUGGCACCAAGUGGAACUGUCCGUCAGCAUGUUUUGGCCCAAUGAAUACCAGGUCCUGUUUGAGGCAGUGGUCUCCAGUGAACACCGAGGCUAUCUAGGAUUGGAUGACAUUCUGCUCUUGAAUUAUCCCUGCUCCAAAGCACCUCAUUUUUCCCGCCUGGGUGAUGUGGAGGUGAAUGCUGGGCAGAAUGCCACCUUUCAGUGUGUGGCUGCCGGCAAGGCAUCUGAAGCAGAGCAGUUCCUUAUGCAGAGGCAGAAUGGAGCGAUUGUACCAGCAGCUUUCGUGAAACACAUCAGCCACCGAAGAUUCCUGGCUACCUUUCAACUGGAUAAAGUUUCCAAGGGGGACCAGGACUUUUACCGCUGUGUUACCCAGUCUGGCAGGGGCUCUGGUGUCUCCAACUUUGCAGAACUGAUUGUGAAAGAGCCUCCUACGCCCAUUGCACCCCCACAGCUGCUGAGAGCAGGCUCGACAUAUCUGAUCAUCCAGCUCAACACCAACUCCAUCAUUGGAGAUGGUCCUAUUGUAAGGAAGGAAAUUGAGUAUCGGAUGACAUCUGGCCCAUGGUCAGAAAUUCACGCUGUGAACAUGCAGACCUACAAAUUGUGGCACCUGGAUCCGGACACAGAAUACGAGAUCAGUGUCCUCCUCACCCGGCCAGGAGAUGGAGGGACUGGCAAACCUGGACCUCCCCUCAUCAGCAGGACAAAGUGUGCAGAACCCAUGAGAGCUCCCAAAGGCCUUGCUUUUGCUGAGAUCCAGCCCAGGCAGCUGACUCUUCAGUGGGAACCUCUAGGCUAUAACCUGACACGUUGUCACACAUAUACUGUCACGCUCUGUUAUCGUUAUGCUGUGGGUCCAGGCCGCAAUCAGACUUUUCGAGAGUGUGUGAAGAUGGAGCGCAAUGCUAACCGCUACACCAUCAAGAAUCUGCUACCUUACAAAAACAUCCAUGUCAAGCUUAUUCUCUCCAACCCUGAGGGACGGAAGGAAGGCAAAGAGAUGAUAUUUCAGACUGAUGAAGAUGUCCCUGGAGGCAUUGCUACAGAGUCCCUCACAUUCACCCCCCUGGAGGACAUGAUUUUUCUGAAAUGGGAGGAACCAGUGGAGCCCAAUGGUCUCAUCACUCAGUAUGAGAUCAGCUACCAGAGCAUUGAAUCCUCUGACCCAGCGGUCAAUGUGCCUGGUCCACGACGCACUGUCUCCAAGCUCCGAAAUGAAACCUACCAUGUUUUCUCCAACCUGCAUCCUGGGACAACCUACCUCUUCUCAGUGCGGGCACGAACUGGCAAGGGUUUUGGUCAGACAGCUCUAACUGAGAUCACCACUAAUAUCUCAGCUCCCAGCUUUGAUUAUGGGGACAUGCCGUCCCCCCUGGGAGAGUCGGAGAGCACCAUCACCGUUUUGCUGAGGCCGGCGCAGGGCAGAGGUGCCCCUAUCAGCACGUACCAAGUCGUCGUGGAAGAAGACAGGCCCAGAAAGGUCAAGCGGGAGCUGGGUGGCCAGGAAUGCUUUCCAGUGCCACUAACCUUCGACAACGCCAUGUCCCGUGGCUCAGUUCACUACUUUGGAGCCGAGCUGCCCCCCAGCAGCCUCAUGGAAGCCAAGCCCUUCACCGUAGGGGACAAUCAAACGUACAAUGGCUACUGGAAUCCCCCCCUGGAACCCAAGAAGGCCUAUCUCAUCUACUUCCAGGCCAUGAGCAACCUCAAAGGGGAAACAAGACUGAAUUGCAUCCGAAUAGCCCGGAAAGCUGCCUGCAAAGAGAGCAAGCGUCCUCUAGAAGUGUCCCAGCACUCAGAGGAGAUGGGCCUCAUCCUGGGCAUUUGUGCCGGAGGACUGGUGGUGCUGAUCAUCCUCCUGGGGGCCAUCAUUGUUGUCAUUCGGAAAGGGAAACCGGUCAACAUGGCCAAAGCUACAAUAAACUACCGCAACGAGAAGACGCACAUGAUGAGUGCCAUUGAUCGGAGCUUUACAGACCAAAGUACCCUGCAAGAAGACGAGAGGCUGGGCUUGUCCUUCAUGGACACACACAACUACAGUAACAGAGGUGACCAGCGCAGCAGCGUUGUCAAUGAAUCCAGCAGCUUGUUAGGGGGCUCCCCUCGACGGCAAUGUGGGCGCAAAGGCUCCCCCUAUCACACCGGGCAGCUUCACCCUGCUGUCCGAGUGGCUGAUCUUCUCCAGCACAUCAACCAGAUGAAGACGGCAGAAGGCUAUGGCUUCAAGCAAGAAUAUGAGAGUUUCUUUGAAGGCUGGGAUGCUUCAAAGAAGAAAGACAAGACCAAAGGGAGACAGGAUCACAUGCCAACCUAUGAUCGACAUAGAGUUAAGCUUCAUCCACUGCUUGGUGAUCCCAACUCGGACUAUAUCAAUGCCAACUACAUUGAUGGUUACCACAGAUCCAACCACUUCAUAGCCACCCAAGGCCCCAAACAGGAAAUGAUCUAUGAUUUUUGGCGGAUGGUGUGGCAGGAACACUGUUCCAGCAUAGUAAUGAUAACGAAGCUGGUUGAAGUGGGAAGGGUAAAGUGCUCCAAGUACUGGCCAGAUGACUCGGAGAUGUAUGGAGACAUUAAAAUUACCCAGGUGAAGUCAGAGACGUUGGCAGAAUAUGUUGUGAGGACUUUCACUCUGGAAAGGAGGGGCUAUUCAGCAAGGCAUGAAGUAAAACAGUUCCAUUUCACAUCAUGGCCAGAACAUGGGGUGCCUUACCAUGCAACUGGACUCCUGGCAUUCAUUCGCAGAGUGAAGGCUUCUACACCUCCUGAAGCAGGACCCAUUGUUAUUCACUGCAGUGCUGGCACAGGGAGGACAGGCUGCUACAUCGUUCUGGACGUGAUGCUGGAUAUGGCGGAAUGUGAGGGUGUUGUGGACAUUUACAACUGCGUGAAGACACUGUGCUCGCGGAGAAUCAACAUGAUCCAGACUGAGGAGCAAUAUAUCUUCAUCCAUGAUGCCAUCUUGGAAGCCUGCCUGUGUGGAGAGACCAGCAUCCCUGUCAGUGAGUUCAGGCCUACAUACAAAGAGAUGGUCAGGAUAGAUCCGCAGAGCAACUCAUCACAGCUGCGAGAGGAGUUCCAGCAGACUCUGAAUUCUGUAACACCCCACCUGGACGUGGAGGAGUGCAGCAUUGCCCUUCUGCCGCGCAACCGGGAAAAGAAUCGCAGUAUGGAUGUGCUGCCUCCAGACCGGUGCCUCCCCUUUUUGAUCUCCAUGGACGGAGAUAGCAACAACUAUAUCAACGCGGCCUUAACUGAUAGCUACACAAAGAGUGCUGCUUUCAUUGUGACCUUGCACCCGCUGCAGAACACAACCACAGACUUCUGGAGGCUGGUAUAUGAUUAUGGCUGCACCUCCAUCAUCAUGUUGAACCAGCUCAACCAGUCCAACUCUGCCUGGCCUUGUUUGCAAUAUUGGCCUGAGCCGGGACUCCAGCAGUAUGGACCCAUGGAAGUGGAAUACGUUUCUAGAUCAGCUGAUGAGGAUGUUGUCGCUCGUCUUUUCCGGGUUCAGAAUGUAACACGGUUACAGGAGGGCCACCUGAUGGUUCAACAUUUCCAGUACCUGCGGUGGUCAGCCUACAGAGACACCCCUGAUUCUAAGAAGUCUUUCCUGCAUUUAUUAGCCCAAGUGGAGAAAUGGCAAGGGGAGAGUGGUGAUGGAAGGACAAUCGUCCAUUGUUUGAAUGGAGGUGGCCGGAGUGGCACUUUCUGUGCCUGCACCAUGAUCCUGGAGAUGAUCAAGUGUCACAAGCUGGUGGAUGUUUUCUUCGCUGCAAAGACCCUCCGCAACUACAAGCCAAAUAUGGUUGAGACCUUUGAACAGUACCACUUCUGCUAUGACAUAGCCCUGGAAUACCUGGAGUCCCUGGAGACAAGAUAGCACCUUGCCAGGAGUUCACAGGCAAGUGUUUGUUUCAGGUUUGUGCCAAACAUGCAUUUUGCACCAAGACUUUUGAGUAAGAGCAAGAGGGAGGAGAGAGAAAAAGAAGAAAACAGAAGGAAAAGAGUGAUUUAUUUUUAAAGCAAGAUAUGGGGCCACAUCGUCCAUCCCCCUACUUUCGUCUUUUCUCCUAACCUUCUGCUCUGACCUGUCUAACUGCUGGCAGAGCACAGUCUAUACAAACCCAUCCCAUGUACACAGCAAUGUGUAUGUGCCAGCCAGGAGUUUGGCACCUGUGUGUUGUUUGUACGUGUAUAUGCAGGAAGGACACCAGACUCAAUCUACUGGUGAUUAUGCCAGUCACAGCCUUGAAGGGACCAAUGUCACUGAGAGCGGGAAGAGAAGCGAAGUCCAGCAUCUUUCGGCUGCAGGAGAUCCAAGGAAGCAGCAGGACUCGCUGGUGUUCUGAAAGCUAAUAAGAAGCUCUUGGAAGGAGACAAUGUAAAAUAUUUGCAGUCAUCAUUCUUUGGGACAGCAUGGACUGCAAGUGCAAACUGGGACCUGUACAGUUUCCCCCUCUGUUUAUAAACAUACAUUUCUUGUUUCCAGCCUAAUGCCGGCCUCCAAAGAGAGCUUCUGAAUUUAUCCCUGCCCAACCUUUGGUAGGAACCCCUGCCUGUAGGAAAACACCAACACUGGAAAUGACAUUCCACAGUCCAACCUGCUCUGUCUAUCCACACCUAGCCGUGUUGCUGAUGCUUGGAAGCUUUAACUCUGUGUGUGGACUCCUGGUGAUCUGAGUAGAAGUAACGGGCUGCUUCAUUAUCCUACUGGAAAAACAUAUUUUGUAUGAAAAUGCUAAUGCCUUCAAUAAAGUCAAGACAGUUCCUACAAAACCCAUCCUUCCAAGGAAUUUAUACAGAAAUUAACCUCUGAAGAAGCAGAUUAUGUUGUAAAUCUCAUGUGCCAUGUUCUAUCAAACAGACCACAAUGGUGGUCACUGUUGGCUUUGGCUGGGCAGUCUGUAUGGUGCUAAUUGUCAGUGUGUGUGUAUAUGUCUUGGCUAAGGAAACCAAUGAGGGAUUGGAUGCAAAUCUUGGCGAGUCACAGACUCUAUCAUGGUGUUGGUCAAUUUCACUGUAACCACUAUAAGAGGCUCCAGUACUUUUUCAGGUUCUGUUGGAUUAACUUGAAAUUUAGGAGAAACUUUUCUAGAGUUGGGAUCCAAAAUUGCCACUGAGAUAGAUAAUCAAGUAGAGAAUCUGAUGGGUGGUAUAGAAUAACACUGAGGAAGAGAAGCUCUGAAGUCCCCUGAUGAAUGUGUUUUAAGAGGUGCUUAAUUUUUUUAUUUUAUUUUUAAAAGAGUAGCUUCAUUUUGCACUCAGGCACAUGAACUUCACUGCAUGUGAGGCACAUCAGUUCUUGAAGGGUACAUGCAAGUAGAAUUGGCCACUUCUCCCUUCUUUACUUUUCUCUAUUAUAAAGGGGAAGCAGUUGUCUGUACAGAUAUUGUAAUUUUGUUCCUCACUCUACAACAUGAACCUUGCAAUGCUCACCGCAAACAUUGUGAGCCUGUAAUUCUUCUGUGGUUCAGAUAAAAGUCUGAGCCAACUAAUAUUUCAACGCCUUCCACCCAUCCUCCCCACCCAUCCUCUCCUAACACCAACCCAUGAUCUUCUAAGUCCCUUCCCGUUUCCUCCCACCCACUUAUCUACAGAUGGCUGUUGCAGCUUUGGUGGUGGGAAGCAGGAGUGAGUGAGGGAGAGAAACCUCUUUCCCUUCCAGUGCUUAUUCAGCAUACCAGAUACAAAUGAACCAGGGAAAUCUGGCAAGUGUGAUUUUCAAAUGUCAGUUACUCUUGGGAAACUUGCAUUUCCCAGGUCUACUUAUACCAACACCAAAUGGGGAAGGGAGUGGAAGCUUGCAUUGAGUGGGGGUGAGGAGGCAGGAGGCUCAUGGGUGAAUUGGUGGGAAGGGGAGAGUGCAAGAAAGUCCAACCUUUCUUCAGAAAGGUCCAGGAACAAUGAGUUUUCCCAAGGAUCUGUUGAUUACUUAUUAUUACUGCACGCCUGCUACCUUCAAAACAAAUAAGAUUGAGCAUGUGUUUUGUAGUUGAGUAUGUGUACCUAAAUUAUUUAUUUAAAAUAUUGUUGUCUCACUUUUCCAGAGUUUAUGCUCGAGUUAGCUUCACAACACAAACUUUAAAACAUAGCUUUAAAACACACACACACUGCGGAUAGGAUCCAUUGGCUGGUGCCAGUUCAAAAGCAUUCCAUCAACCUAACAGGCUAGUAUCAAUUUGAGUUUUUUCUGUGUCUGCUAGCCACUACUUUUACCAAUUUGUUUUUUCCCUCACAAAAAAAAGAUAUUAAUAUUCAUAUUUUUUAAAGGGAAUAUCGAUAAUUUUAAAGGAAAUGUUGCUAUUUUGAAAGGAAAUAUCAGUAAAUGAAAGGAAAUAAUCAAUAAAAUUAUUGUUCUUAAUAACAAUAUUUUAGAGAUGGAUUUUUAAAAAAAGAAAUCCAUUUUCAAAAAGAGCUGUAGAAAAUCGCUACAUAAAAAUCUAAUCUGCAAUGAUAAAGAGAAUUAAUGGAAAAUUUGGUACAAAAUCUGAAUUGGAUGGAAUUCUAGCACGUCCCUAACAGAGAGAGAGAAUUAAAUAAUGUAAUGUUAUCUAUCCAGCUGCAAUUAAUAAUAACAGCAGAAGCAACAGCGGCUGAACAGCACAACAUAAUGUAAUUAAAACAAAUGCCUGGAUAUAUAUGGUAGUAUUGCAAAAAAAAAAAAAAGGCAAUUUAACUAUCAGUAGAGGAAACAUUUUUUUCCAAACCCAACAUGCGGACUGGAAAAAUAUAUAUUCAGUUUUUCCUUAAAAGCCCACUGUAAGAAAGUCAUACUUUUUUCCCUGGGAAGGGAGUUCCAAAUCAUCAUCAUCAAAUUUCAUUAUUAUUCCACCUUAAGAAGGGGCCAAUAGCCACAGUCUUUUCUCUUGUGGCUUAGGAAUGCUUGAGGAAUUCUGCCUCUGUGAAUUCCUACACAGAAGUACUUGAUCUGCACCGCUCAGACUCACGUGUAAAUGAGAAUUUAGGUGUCCACUGGAUUUUGUCUUUCUCCAAACGAUGCCCUAAUCAGAAGUUUAAAUGUAUCAAAAUAUGCAAUUAAAUACAUUUUCUUUUGAAAGAAAACACACAUUUAAACACAUUUUGAGAGAAAAUAUGUAUCUAAAAAUGUAAUUGGAAAGGUUUUUUAAUGCAGCUAAUGCAGAAAUAGAAGGAGAUAGUGAGUUUAAAAAAACAGCAUGACACAGAUCCAUCACCUCUGUGUCAAUGCCAUUCAUCGGGAAAUGGCAGGCUGAAGGCAGAGCAGCACACUGGAUUCCACAGCCUUUAUUCCAUUGGCUACAUUCAUAUAUGGGCACAGUCAAAUAAAAUGGAGAGUGAGGUAUAUGCAGUAUGGAUCUACGGAUAGGUGGUAGGUGAGUUAAUUGAUUUUGAAAGGCUGGUGUGACCUAAUACAACAGAAACUAAGGAUUUCCAGGGGAUGCUGAGGUUAAUGAAAUGUAGACCUGGUUUCAUUUAUGGAAAUUAACAUCAAAUGCCUGCAUUUUUGAUGAGCCUGAUGUCACAUCUCAUUUUGGAGAUAAGCUGCAUUUGCUAAACGGUACCUCUUGGCCCAUCCGCCGUGUCUUGUUGCUCUAUCAGCCACAGCCAAACAAUUCUGACUAGAGGGGAGGUGGGGUGGGAAGAGACUACGGAGUUAUUUUCUACCGAUUCAUGCAGGAGCUCGUAGGUGAAUCAUCACUCAAAUCAUAUGCAAAAAAGAAAAGGGAAAAGGUAACUCACACAUUGACUCUUUCAGUCUUGGAGGAAAAUUCAGAGGCCAAAUGUUGGCAGUGGAGGAGAGCUUCAUCUUGCUGGAUGUUUAAUAAUUUUACUCUUAUCUCUUGACAAGGGCAAGCAUUUUUGUUUUUUUAAAAAAAUCCAAGUGCUAUAAAGGGUAACGACUUUCCAGCUCGCUUCGAGAUACUCCUCCAAGAUAAAACAAGAAUCCUGUUUAUGGACAUAUGUACACAGAGACCUAUGUAUAUAGAGGUGUAUGUGUAAAUAUAUAGAAACACUUGUUCAUAUGGAUAAUGUUUAUCAGUAUUAAAAAAUCAGUGGUGCUU